rnacentral:ncRNA from 1 species
UCUAUGAAGAGUACAAGAAUUUGUGAGUAAUAUUUAUUUGAUACGAAAUCAUACUCGAUGAAGUAGGAA